rnacentral:rRNA from 1 species
UACGUAGGGGGCGAGCGUUACCCGGAUUCACUGGGCGUAAAGCGGGUGUAGGCGGCUCGGAAAGUCGGGUGUGAAAUCCCACAGCUCAACUGUGGAACUGCGCCCGAAACUGCUGAGCUUGGGGCCGGUAGAGGGAGACGGAACUGCCGGUGUAGGGGUGAAAUCCGUAGAUAUCGGCAGGAACGCCGGUGGGGAAGCCGGUCUCCUGGGCCGCGCCCGACGCUGAGACCCGAAAGCUAGGGGAGCAAACCGG